ACCCAUGGGGCUCAGUGGAUAGAGCAUCAGCCUGUGGACUGAGCGGUCCUGGGUUUGAUUCCCAUCAAGGGCA
rnacentral:tRNA from 1 species